UUUAACUAAUUAACAUACAAGUAAUAUGAUUAACUUUAAAUCACAUACAUGCAUACAUCUUUAAUAAAAUUGUUUACAAUCUUUGCAUCAUUUCUUUUAUACAUCACAAUAUCCCCAAAAUAAACAUAAUGUAAUUCUGCCAAAAGAUAAGCUUUUACAGUAAACCAUAAAUCCUUUUAUAUCAUUCAUAUACUUUCAUUUAAACAUCUAUAACCAUCAAAAUACAAAAGAUGGUAUAAAAGGGUAAUGCAACUAGCAAAAUAAAACUGACUAGGGAAGUCACUGUCUACGGCAUGAUACCCUAACCGCGAUCAUCUG
rnacentral:lncRNA from 1 species